AAGUCGAGCGCGAAAGUGGACUUCGGUCCGCGAGUAGAGCGGCGAACGGGUGAGUAACGCGUGGGUGAUCUACCUUCGAGUGGGGAAUAACACCGGGAAACUGGUGCUAAUACCGCAUGACAUCCUCGGUUCGUUCCGGGGAUCAAAGCCGGGGACCGCAAGGCCUGGCGCUUGAAGAGGAGCCCGCGUCCGAUUAGCUUGUUGGCGGGGUAAUGGCCCACCAAGGCUUCGAUCGGUAGCCGGCCUGAGAGGGCGGACGGCCACACUGGGACUGAGACACGGCCCAGACUCCUACGGGAGGCAGCAGUGAAGAAUUUUCCGCAAUGGGGGAAACCCUGACGGAGCAACGCCGCGUGGAGGAUGAAGGCCCUCGGGUCGUAAACUCCUGUCGAUCGGGAAGAAUGCACACGGCCCAAUACGCCGUUGUGUUGACUGUACCGGUGGAGGAAGCCACGGCUAACUCUGUGCCAGCAGCCGCGGUAAGACAGAGGUGGCAAGCGUUGUUCGGAAUUACUGGGCGUAAAGGGCGCGCAGGCGGUUCGUCAAGUCCCGUGUGAAAUCCCCCGGCUCAACUGGGGAACUGCGCGGGAAACUAGCGGGCUUGAGUUCGGGAGAGGAAAGCGGAAUUCCGGGUGUAGCGGUGAAAUGCGCAGAUAUCCG
rnacentral:rRNA from 1 species